rnacentral:rRNA from 1 species
GAUGAACGCUGGCGGCGUGCCUAAUACAUGCAAGCCGAGCGAAUGGAUUAAGAGCUUGCUAUUAUGAAGUUAGCGGCGGACGGGUGAGUAAAACGUGGGUAACCUGCCCAUAAGACUGGGAUAACUCCGGGAAACCGGGGCUAAUACCGGAUAACAUUUUGAACAGCAUGGUUCGAAAUUGAAAGGCGGCUUCGGCUGUCACUUAUGGCUGGACGCGCGUCGCAUUAGCUAGGUGGGUAGGUAACGGCUCACCAAGGCAACGAUGCGUAGCCGUCCUGAGAGGGUGAUCGACCACACUGGGACUGAGACACGGCCCAGACUCCUACGGGAGGCAGCAGUAGGGAAUCUUCCGCAAUGGACGAAAGUCUGACGGAGCAACGCCGCGUGAGUGAUGAAGGCUUUCGGGUCGUAAAACUCUGUUGUUAGGGAAGAACAAGUGCUGGUUGAAUAAGCUGGCACCUUGACGGUACCUAACCAGAAAGCCACGGCUAACUACGUGCCAGCCGCCGCGGUAA